rnacentral:misc_RNA from 1 species
CGCACAUUGCGCCCCUUGGUAUUCCAUGGGGCAUGCCUGUUCGAGCGUCAUUUGUACCUUCAAGCUUUGCUUGGUGAUGGGUGUUUGUCCUGUCCUUUGUGACUGGACUCGCCUUAAAAUUAUUGGCAGCCGGCAUAUUGGCCUUUGGAGCGCAGCACAUUUUGCGAUCUAAGCCUGUAUAUUGGUAUCCAUGAAGCCUUUUUAUCACUUUUGACCUCGGAUCAGGUAGGGAUACCCGCUGAACUUAA